rnacentral:rRNA from 1 species
GAUGAACGCUGGCGGCGUGCUUAACACAUGCAAGUCGAACGAGGCACUUUAUUUGAUUUCCUUCGGGACUGAUUAUUUUGUGACUGAGUGGCGGACGGGUGAGUAACGCGUGGGUAACCUGCCUUGUACAGGGGGAUAACAGUUGGAAACGGCUGCUAAUACCGCAUAAGCGCACGGCAUCGCAUGAUGCAGUGUGAAAAACUCCGGUGGUAUAAGAUGGACCCGCGUUGGAUUAGCUAGUGGGUGAGGUAACGGCCCACCAAGGCGACGAUCCAUAGCCGACCUGAGAGGGUGACCGGCCACAUUGGGACUGAGACACGGCCCAAACUCCUACGGGAGGCAGCAGUGGGGAAUAUUGCACAAUGGGCGAAAGCCUGAUGCAGCGACGCCGCGUGAGCGAAGAAGUAUUUCGGUAUGUAAAGCUCUAUCAGCAGGGAAGAUAAUGACGGUACCUGACUAAGAAGCACCGGCUAAAUACGUG